rnacentral:rRNA from 1 species
AUUGAACGCUGGCGGAAUGCUUUACACAUGCAAGUCGAACGGCAGCGCGGGGGCAACCCUGGUGGCGAGUGGCGAACGGGUGAGUAAUACAUCGGAACGUGCCCGGUCGUGGGGGAUAACGUAGCGAAAGUUACGCUAAUACCGCAUACGAUCUGAGGAUGAAAGCGGGGGACCUUCGGGCCUCGCGCGAUCGGAGCGGCCGAUGUCAGAUUAGGUAGUUGGUGGGGUAAAGGCCUACCAAGCCGACGAUCUGUAGCUGGUCUGAGAGGACGACCAGCCACACUGGGACUGAGACACGGCCCAGACUCCUACGGGAGGCAGCAGUGGGGAAUUUUGGACAAUGGGCGCAAGCCUGAUCCAGCCAUUCCGCGUGCAGGACGAAGGCCUUCGGGUUGUAAACUGCUUUUGUAUGGAACGAAAAGGCUCUGGCUAAUACCUGGGGCUCAUGACGGUACCGUAAGAAUAAGCACCGGCUAACUACGUG